UGUGGGGUAGUUUAGUGGUAGAGCAGUUGUCUAGCAUUUGCAAAGGUCUGGGUUCAAUUCCCAGCACCAUAG
rnacentral:tRNA from 1 species